AACGAACGCUGGCGGCACGCCUAACACAUGCAAGUCGAACGCCCUCAGCAAUGGGGGAGUGGCGGACGGGUGAGUAACGCGUGGGAACCUGCCCAGAGGUGCGGGACAACUUCGGGAAACCGGAGCUAAUACCGCAUGAUGCCGUGGCGACACGGCCAAAGAUUCAUCGCCUUUGGAGGGGCCCGCGUCGGAUUAGGUAGUUGGUGGGGUAACGGCCUACCAAGCCUUCGAUCCGUAGCUGGUCUGAGAGGAUGGCCAGCCACACUGGGACUGAGACACGGCCCAGACUCCUACGGGAGGCAGCAGUGGGGAAUCUUGGACAAUGGGGGCAACCCUGAUCCAGCGAUGCCGCGUGGGUGAUGAAGGCCUUCGGGUUGUAAAGCCCUUUCGGCGGGGACGAUAGUGACGGUACCCGCAGAAGAAGCCUCGGCUAACUCCGUGCCAGCAGCCGCAGUAACAC
rnacentral:rRNA from 1 species